ensembl:lncRNA
UCAUGUGCUGAUCGUCAGACACUUCAGGAUUAAAGGCCUGUUUCAAGCGGUCUUGGGAUGCCAGCGGGCCGCUCGUGUCAAGACCUGCCACAUUCACCUUCACGUCCUCCACCGCAAAACACAGAAUCAGAGCAAAGUUCAGCUUUAUCCCAGUCACACUCGGAGAAUGAAGACCAAUCAGAAGUCAGUAUGCAAAUACCACGAUGAUGUCAUCACUGCUGGAUACAUUUGAAAGGUGAAGAUUCUAUCAGGGCCAGAGAUCAUGUUGCUGGCGGGAAGUGAGAGUCCUCCAGAGAAACCUGAGGUCAAUCUGACACGAGAUCAGCAGCAGAGCAAACGGAGAGCUCUGAUUCUGCAGCCAAACCCCGCUGAUACUGUCAGCGCAGCGACACGUUGAGUGGAAAUGACCGCGGCGACGCCCUCACGCUGGGAUUCUUCUCUUCCCCUGCCGCAACAAUUGAUGUGAAGAGAGGAUCGGGUUCUCCGUCCGUGCUCAGCAUGACGGUCAUCUUCAGGAGUGAACGUCUGAGAGGAACCAUUGAUUGUCCAGAUGACAGAUGCUACGUGUCACACGGACUGAACUGCUUCCUGUUACAGCAGAGCGUGUGUGUGUUUGGAGUGGGACGAUUGAGCUGGGAACACUGUUCAGAUGUAUCCUAUUCUUCUGUAAUGCAAUCCUUAUGUGUUUACUGAAAUGAACUACAGUUUACUGAUGUGUAGGGCUCAAAAAUA